GACGAACGCUGGCGGCGUGCUUAACACAUGCAAGUCGAACGCUGAAGCUUGGUGCUUGCACUGGGUGGAUGAGUGGCGAACGGGUGAGUAAUACGUGAGUAACCUGCCCUUGACUCUGGGAUAAGCCUGGGAAACUGGGUCUAAUACUGGAUACGACAUGCCACUGCAUGGUGGUGUGUGGAAAGGGUUUUACUGGUUUUGGAUGGGCUCACGGCCUAUCAGCUUGUUGGUGGGGUAAUGGCCUACCAAGGCGACGACGGGUAGCCGGCCUGAGAGGGUGACCGGCCACACUGGGACUGAGACACGGCCCAGAAUCCUACGGGAGGCAGCAGUGGGGAAUAUUGCACAAUGGGCGGAAGCCUGAUGCAGCGACGCCGCGUGAGGGAUGACGGCCUUCGGGUUGUAAACCUCUUUCAGCACGGAAGAAGCGAGAGUGACGGUACGUGCAGAAGAAGCGCCGGCUAACUACGUG
rnacentral:rRNA from 1 species